CAUUACAACUAAGAUACAAAUCUGUUUUUAACUUGUUAAUUCUGAACCUUUUCAGUUAUUCUCUUAAUAUUGACAGCUAAGUAUGCAAUUACACUGACAACGGAGUCUUUAUUUUCUAGAUGUAAAUGUCCUGCAUCCAUGAACUAGGGAAACUGAUUACAGAGUAUAUGCCCUUUGUACAAUCUUUCACCAGAGAUGUGAGAAAUAACAGUACCUCAAGUGCUCUUAUGACUGCCUGUGACCUUUUAUUGAAAAUUCUAUGAAACCACUGUGGAACAUCUCUUUUUUGGUUGAAAUAGAAAUGAGGGUUAAUGAGAAAUGAGGGUUAAACUCAGUGUUUUGUGAGUGAGUGUGGCUUUGAUCUUUCAUGACCUGAUCCCAAGUGCCACGCAACUUGUUGAGAAACAUCUGCACCCAACACUGGCACCCAUUGCUCUCACUCAUCAGUGUGUGAACGGGAACCUGAGGUAUCAGCCUGGAAAGUGAAUAAGUUACCUGCUGUAAACAGGGACUAAGAACAAAUGAGACUGUAAGCAAGGCAUGAACUUCAUUAGGUACAAUAUGAGUUGGGAAUGAAUCUCAUGUAGAAACAUUCAUGAGAGAUCCUUUCUAGUCCCUCCUCCCUGUGUGAAGGUCUGCAGUGAGAUCUCAGUUUUAUCCAUGUUCCAGCAGGUUUUGUUAGAGCUCUUUCUUGAAAAAAUAUUAUGUUUCCUGGAGAAGCAGUCUGGAAAAAAAGGCAUGCUGAAAGUUGAAAAUGCAAUCUCCUCUCACAUGAGAUAAAAAUGUGAGAACUGUGAAAUGCAGUAUGGAUUUUUUAGGUUAACUUACUUAGGAAUACCUUUAUUAAAUUACUCGAUUAAGGGGAAGUUUUUUGAUGUCUGAGGAUUUUUUUUUCAGUAUAAUUGAAUUUCUACAAUAGCUAGCUUUGCUCCUGCAUUUUCUUCUGAUGCCAUAGUGGAAAUUUGUAACAAAGAUAAGAUCAUAAAUGGAUAUUUUAAAAAUAAAUAAAUAAAUAAUGCCUAAGUGGAAUUUAGUCUCAUGCUUUGAAACUAGAGCAGAGGCAGACAUAAAUACUUUUAUCUGGGAGCAACCUUCAGUAUAUGAUUAUCAUAGUUAAUACGUCAAUAUGCUUUCUCAAUCUGCAGCUAGCCAUUGCUGAAACACUUGUUUUAAGUCAAUAAAACAGUAAGGCAAGCAGGACCAUUAGUGGGAUAAUUUGAUCAAUAUCCCUUUCUCCUUUAGAAGGGAAAACUCAGUACUAUUUUGUCUAAGUUCUCAUAUAUAAGAGCAAUGCUUCCAGCCAAAAAUAUAUACUGUUGCUAUUGCUUAAAGGCUGCAAUAAGCAACUACAUUGAAGUAUGUAUUAGAACUGCAAAGAGGUCAGGAAAAAUUCUUGCCCAGUCUUGAAAACCUCGCAGUCAGGGAAAACCUCACAAUCAGGCCCCAAGACUGCCAUUUCAUUCAAACAGACUGAUGUGUUAUAAUCCUUAUAGUUACAUCCUUCUGAA